GAUGAACGCUGGCGGCGUGCCUAAUACAUGCAAGUCGAGCGAACGGACGAGAAGCUUGCUUCUCUGAUGUUAGCGGCGGACGGGUGAGUAACACGUGGAUAACCUACCUAUAAGACUGGGAUAACUUCGGGCAACCGGAGCUAAUACCGGAUGAUAUUUUGAACCGCAUGGUUCAAAAGUGAAAGACGGUCUUGCUGUCACUUAUCGAUGGAUCCGCGCUGCAUUAGCUAGUUGGUAAGGUAACGGCUUACCAAGGCAACGAUGCAUAGCCGACCUGAGAAGGUGAUCGGCCACACUGGAACUGAGACACGGUCCAGACUCCUACGGGAGGCAGCAGUAGGGAAUCUUCCGCAAUGGGCGAAAGCCUGACGGAGCAACGCCGCGUGAGUGAUGAAGGUCUUCGGAUCGUAAAACUCUGUUAUUAGGGAAGAACAUAUGUGUAAGUAACUGUGCACAUCUUGACGGUACCUAAGCAGAAAGCCACGGCUAACUACGUG
rnacentral:rRNA from 1 species